AUUGAACGCUGGCGGCAGGCCUAACACAUGCAAGUCGAACGAGUGGCGGACGGGUGAGUAAUGUCUGGGCAAAUGCCCGAGGGAGGGGGAUAACUACUGGAAACGGUAGCUAAUACCGCAUACCAUCGGAUGUGCCCAGAGUGGGUUAGAUUGUAGGUGAGGUAACCGAUCACAUAGGCGACGAUCACUAUCUGGUCUGAGAGGAUGACCAGCCACAGUGGAACUGAGAAACGGUCCGGACUCCUAAGGGAGGCAGAAGGGGGGAAUAUUUCACAAUGGGCGCAAGCCGGAUGAAGCCGUGCCGCGUGUAUGAAGAAGGCCUUCUGGUUGUAAAGUACUUUCAGCGGGGAGGCGUGACCCGCAGAAGAAGCACCGGCUAACUCCGUGCCAGCAGCCGCGGUAAUUC
rnacentral:rRNA from 1 species